UGCAGGGUUAACUCCACCUCUAGUGGCUGUCUACAAUAUAUAUAUAUAUAUAUAUAUAUAUAUAUAUAUAUAUAUAUAUAUAUAUAUAUAUAUAUUGUAGACAGCCACUAGAGGUGGAGUUAACCCUGCA